rnacentral:misc_RNA from 1 species
GCCCCUGUCGCUGGAGCU